ensembl:lncRNA
CUUGGAAAUGCUUAUUGCUCCAAGCAAAUAUUUUAAAUAUUUCAAGAGCCUUUUUGACAGCUGAAGUGUGAAGAUGAAAAUGUAUUUUUAAUAGUUGAAGUGAACAUUGUAUGUUAUACAUGGUCAAUAGCAGAACAGUAGAUAUUUCUUGAUGGUUAUCAGACAUUCUGGGAAGAAAAUAACUGACCGUCUGAGCUAAUAGUAGAUGGAAAUGGACUGUUUUUUGAAAAGCUACACUGAUUGUUUAUGUUGACUUUAUAAACUAUGUAUAUGCCUUUGGCCUAAGGAAACAUGAGAACCUUGAGCUUCAGGAAGAACGCUGCUGUUUGUUUAAUAGAACAGAUUGGGACAAGAGAAUUAGACGGAUACUUCAUGGAACACUUUGGUGAGAAUAAAGAAUUGGCCAGGGCUGUAAAUAUGAAAUCACUUCCUGUAACGUCUGUGGACAACAUAGCUGCUUUCCAUCAUAUUUGAAAGUUGUGGCUGUCAGACAAAGUCCCCAGUGACAGAAAAAAGAGAAAUGUUCCCAUCUUCAAGAAGGAAAAAAGGAAGACUCGGGGAACUACAGCCCAGUGAGCCUCACAUCUGUGCCUGGAAAGAUCAUAGAGCACAUCCUCCGGGAAGACAUAUCAAGGCACAUGCAAGAUAAGGAGGUGAAGCAAGACAGCCAUCACAGCUUCAGCAAGAGCAGAUUGUGCCUGACCAAUCUUGUGACCUUCUAUGGUGAAGUGAUGGCAUUGGUGGACAAAAGAAUGGUAACUGAUGUCGUCUACCUGGAUUCUGCAAGGCCUUUGACAUGGUCCAGCACCACAUCCUUAUGUCAAAAUUGGAGACAUAUGGAUUUGAAGACUGGACUAUUAGAUGGAUAAAUGGUUGGGUGAUUGUAGCCAAAAGGUUGUUGUCUGUGGCUCUAUGUCCAGGUGGAGGCUGGUCACAAGUGUUGUCCCUAAGGGGGUCCAUCUUCAGACUGAUGCUCUUCAACAUCUAUACCAACAACAUAGGCCGUGGGAUCAAGUGUACCCUUAGCAAGUGUGCUGAUGACACUAAGCUGAGUAGUGCAGCUUAUACAGUAGAAGGGAGAGAUGACAUCCAGAAGGACCCAGACACUUUCAAAAAGUGAGCACACAAGAAUUUAAUAAGGUUUAACAAGGCCAAGCGCAAGGUGCUGCACUUGGCUUGAGGUAAUUCCAGGUAUGGAUACAAAGUGGGAGAAGAACUCCUUGGGUGCAGCUCUUCAGAGAAGGACUUGGGGGUUCUGAUGGAUGAAAAACUUGAGUCAGCAGUGUACUCUUGAAGCCUGGAAGGCCAACAGUAUCCAGGAUUCCAUCGGAAGAGGGGUGGACAGCAGGGAAAGGGAUAUGAUUGUCCCUCUCCAUCCGGCCCUUGUGAGUUCCCAGCUGGAGUAGAGCAUCCAAGUCUGAGGCCUCCAACACAGGAAGGUUGUGAUGCUUUUGCAGAGUCCAGAGGAGAGCCACAAAAAUGAUCCAUGGACUGGAACAUCUCUCCUAUGGAGAUAGUCUGAAGGAACUGGGCUUCUUCAGCUUGCUAAAGAAAAGACUGCAGGGAGACCUCAUUGUGGCCUCCCAGUAUUUAAAGGAAGUUUAUAAACAUGAGGGAAAUCAACUUUUUACAUGGGUAGAUAGUGAUAGGACAAGGGCCAAUAGUUUUAAACUAAAGGAAGGAAGAUUUAGAUUUAGAUUAGAUGUCAGGGGAAGUUUUUACCGAGAGAGAUGUGAGGUGCUGGAACAGGUUGCCCAGAGAGGUUAUGGAUGCCCCAUACCUGGAGUUGCUUAAGGCCAGGUUGGAUGGGGCCCUGGGCAAUCUUAUCUAGUACUUGAUCUAGUGGCUGGCAAUCCUGCCUGUAGCAGUGGAGUUGGAACUUUAUGAUUCUUGAGGUCCCUUCCAGCCUAAACCAUUCUAUGAUUCUAUGAAAACUUUCUGAAAGACUCCUGCUCUUAGGAACAGAGAAAUACAAAUUUGUAUUCACGUCUCAUUCAGACUUCUGACUUAAUGCCACAGCAAACCUUGUCAUCAUUUACAGGUUUACAUUUCGUAUUUUCUUUUCAUUAUGUCCUUUGGGAAGAAAAGGCUGAUCUCUGCAUUUUGCACUCUUUACUGUACAAAAGAAUGAAUGUUAUGCCUGUAGAGAUCUUAAAGCAACAAAUUUGGAUGGGAAAAUAAUUUUAACUUUUGGAUUCCAGCUCACGUGAAGAACCAAAAGAACAGUGUCAGCAAGCAGUCAGAUCAUAAUUUAUCCACAGACUCAACCUGAGUUGAAUUAAGUGAAGAGGCAAGCUAGAAUAGGAUUUGGAAUAUUAAGUCAAUUUUUACACCCUAUACAGCACAGGCUACUUUUAGCCUUCCGAAGGUCUAAUAAAAAGCUCUGGAAUGCUCUUACCACCCUGCUGUUCCACUCCUGUGCCUCUGAAUGCCCUGCAGGAAGAAAAAGCACUGUGAAAAUCUAUAGUUUGCCAAUGUAGAGAGGAUAAAAAAUGUUGCUCCUCCUUACCUGCUCCUGUGUCCAAACUACAGUAUAGGAAAAUGUGUAUGGGAAAUGUUAACAAAUAUAAUAGAAAGGGGAGAUAGGAACUACUGAGCAGGGUAGCACUUUCAGCAAUAUUAAUCUUUCAUUGCACACAGUUGUGUUCUCUGCACAUCACAGGAAUGAGAGCACCUUAGAGGGACAGCCAGGCAAGGACAGCACAGACACUGAACAUGAUCCUCUGCAGUGGCUGAAGAGUAGGCUUUGCUUGCACAUAUGCGGAUUUGGGACUAGACUACUCUAUUACUUCUUUUUUCUUUUUUCUGUGCUGGUCCCACAGCCAUGGUGGGAAGAAAAUGCUCCCUUGUAGUAGAUACAGUGGAGCAGCAGAGCUGGAACCACUCUUCAUAUU